CCAGUCUCCAGCUUGGACUACCCAUGAUUCAACGCGGGCACACAACACGUUCUCUCGAGAAAAAGUAUCUUUUACAAAUUUUGUAAAGUUUGUGUAAAAAGCACAGUAUUUUUCAACAAUUCUGGUCGAGACAGGACGUUUUGAAGGCUAGCAGCCUACGGAGGGCUUAAAAUGCCUCAGAAAGCGUACGGUUCGGGCGCGAACGCGGUGCCUAUGGGUAAACUCCAUCCAGUUUUGGCCGCCAAAAGACAAGACAGCCAUGGCCAUGAUGGUGGACAAAGACCCCCCUUACCUCCGAUGAAUUAUGGCCCACCGGUAUCGUAUCAACCUCUCCCACCUCCCUCAAUGCCCAUGACUCCACAGCCGAGGCCUCCUCUUCCCCCACAGCCCUAUCCCGAGGCGAAUAAUGGUUCCUCAAAGCGAAGUAUGGAAAGUGCAGGUU